AGAGAGACGAUUCCACUUUUCACAGUCUCUAACAGUAAUCCACGACUUCUUAUUCUCCUUGAAGGAAAGCCCAGAAAAGUUUCAGAUUGAAGCCAAUUUUCCCAGGCGAGUGCUGCCCUGCAUCCCUUCAGAGGAGUGGCCCAAUCCCCCUACGCUGCAGGAGGCCGGACUCAGCCACACAGAAGUUCUUUUUGUUCAGGACCUAACUGAUGAAUGACAUUUUCUUCUUCCUGUCCCCUCCUACCCCAGUCCCUAAAAGAAAUGGGGAAAAAAGAAAACAACAACAACAAGUCAGAAAAAAAAAAAAGAGAGAGAGAAAUUCAUAUUAUUAUUAUUAUUAUAAUACAAUAUUUUUUUUAAAAGACUGCUGCAUCCUUAGGAAGGAUCAGAAACCAUGCUGCCCGUAAGAGUCACAACCUGUGUGUGCGCGCAAGGUUAGCAACAAACGUACCCGCUCGGCAAGCCCACCCUUCCUGUGGCCUCUGUGCACGCACCUUCCAGUGAACAGAGACUCUUCACCUUCGACCCAUCCAUUGUCCCAGCUGGGAAGGGGACAUUCCCACUAGUUCUCAUUCAUUCUUGCUUUUAUGAAAAAUAAAAGUGAAAAACCUCCAUCAACCAGCUACUUGCAGCAUCUCCUGAGGACUUGCUUCUCCUGCCUCUGGGGAAGAGAGGGAAGAGAAAGCACAGAGCAGAGAAGCAGAGAUGUUCCUUGAACUGCCCACCAGUUUUCAAUAACUUUUAUUUCUGUUUUGUAAUGACCAAAGGAAUGAGGCUGACAUAGGUAUAUAUAUAUAUUUUUCCUUUAUUUGAUAAAGAGCCAAUUCUUUAAACCCAUGAGUUUAUGCCCUGGGCUCCUUAGCCCACAAUAGUGUAAUAAAAGUGCCCCGGGCUGGUUUGUGCUUAUUUCUGCCAUUGUCCCUCUCACGUUCCCAGAGAGGUCAUUCUUUUUGGUCCAACUCUUGCUGUCCUUUCUUACCACCUGUGCACCCCACUUGGAGCAGUGGGAGGAAAUCUGGGUUUGUGGCCCCACAAAGGCUGUAUAUGUAAAGAUACACCUAUGUAUGUGGUGGAACUCACCUUUACACACAACUGCAGCUUUUCCUUGGAGUCUGUACCAGGUGGUGGUUAUGGGGUCUGAACCAAAGGAUAGCAGCUCUUCAUUCCUCUUCUGACAUGUGCAUGCUGCUCCUCCCAGCCCUGGGCUUUCCUGAAUUGCCAAGCCUGGUGCCUUUCCAAAGGACUAGCAGGGCCUGUGGUGGAGCCAGCAGAACCACAGGAGAGUGCCCUGCCUGUCUCAGUGGAAGUGUAUUAUUGUUUUAAGGAUAGAACCAGAGGCCUUGAAGGGAGCCAAGACAGAACUCCCAGCCUGUGUAAUCUAUUGGAAGGCACAUUUUCAUUUCUGAUGCAGCCACCUUCUGGAGGCAGCUUUUAUCCUUUCUCUCUAUUGCUAUGUUGAAGUAAUAGGGUUUUUUUUAACCUCUGGAUGUCUCGUCUGUGGUUGAGUUUAUGGUAAUGGGUACAUGGGUCAGGCCAUGUAUUAACAGAUGCCAGUGCGCUCUGACAAGUAUUCCAAAGUGUUCUGUAGCUAGACUGGUGCAGGCUCGUUGUACCACUGCAACCGACUGACGUUACUGUAGUUCCUAGAAUGCUGUGAGGGCAGGGGGGUUCAGAUCAACAUAAAGCCUAACUUGCUGGAGUUGUAGUCUCAAGGCUUUCUCUCUUGCUUAACUAAAACCUAAGGACCACUGUUUUUGGUAGCAAUUAUAUGGUUACUAUCCACUGCAGUCCUCAGUUGUUGGGGUAAAUCCCACAUGGCAGAGUAAGGCACCCCACAGAAAUUAACUUGGAGAGCCUGAGAAAUUCCCAGUGGCCUUGGCAUAGCUGUCUAGAACACCAUCUCUAGGAAAAUUUAAUUCUGUCCCUGGCCAGCUAUUGUUCUUCCACUUCGUUUUCUGCUGUCCCAAGGCCAGAUGAGUGGAAUCACCAUCUGACUGUUGUCAAUAAAAUGUAUCUGGCGUGAACAGCAGGAUAACCCAUGUUCUCCACGUAAGGAUAACCUUACGUGAAACCUUCCUGCUGACAACCAUGCAGAGGAAUUUUUCCACUUAAGUCAGAGCCUUCCUCCCCAUCUGGAAUUCACAGCUGUUCCCUGGCAGCACACAGGAGGGUAUUAAGGACCUUUGUGAGGCUAGGUACACUAUCCACACCUCUUUGGGGAAGUUACGAUUUUUUGUUUCCAUCAUAAUUCAGUCUCUUCUUACUCUACAGUGUGCACUUUAUGCCUCUCGCCUUUUGAUAAUAGUUGUUCAGUGAAGGAAGUCAGCUGCCAGAAAAGAAGGUCUCCCUUUAUGUCAGUACAACUGUUAGGGCGGCCUUCCCAUUUACUUUAGGUUUCAAGAGGAUUCACCGGAAGCACAUGCCCCGGUCUAGUCCCAUUUGAAACAGUUCUGCUUUACUGAGACCCUAGGCCGGUCUCCUUGCUGACCCUAGCGCUGCUGCCUAGGUGCCAUUUCCUUUCCUCCUCAGUCAAAUACAGGCUGCACAUUUUGUCACUUAAUGCCAGUACAAUCUGUGUUACUCCUAAGGACUUUUGGGAUUUCGAUGAGACCUGCGAGGGAGAAGACACUGAGAAGCCGGUGAUCUGUAAGCAUUUGCUCUUGUUUCCACAUCACCUCUGGGAUAUUUCAGCUGUUGUUUCCAAAUGGCAAGUCAUCAACUAAAAGCACUUGUUUCAAGUUUUGUUCUGCACUCCCACGACUGAAGUUGUAGAUUGAGCUGAAUAACCAUGGGAAGUGACCAAGCAAAGACACUCGAUUGGAGUCAGUUGAAUAUUUGUACCCUCAGUGGAGCCCUUCUGGUCUUUUCUUCCACUUCUGCAGAAUUUCCUCUAGCAAAUACUUCUUUCUCCUUGCUUGCCUCCACCAUGAUUUUGAAUAAGAGAUGGCCAGAGGAUAACACUUGUCUCUUAAAAACUAAGCUAAAAAGAACCUAGAACCUUCAACUGAGCAGUUGUGAAAAUUGCUAAUGGUGCCAAGGCCAAGCAAAGAGUUUCAGAAAAUGACUGAGAAGGAGCGAUAACCCCCAGAACGCAAAAUCAGGGGCAUCAUUAUCCGGUGCUUGAACAAGGAGCUCCGCUCUACAACUGGUUUUUUAGGACUUGUGAGGAACGCAGCAACGGAAAUCCAUCCACAAAGGAUGCAGUGCCCCAACUUGUACUGCGCCUGAAUAGUCAUGUGAUAAUUUACUGAAGAAAUCUAGUGUACUUUAAAUUUUUUUCAUAAAAGUUUACAUUGUAUUGUAGGUUAACA
rnacentral:lncRNA from 1 species